rnacentral:rRNA from 1 species
GAUGAACGCUAGCUACAGGCUUAACACAUGCAAGUCGAGGGUCCGGCGCACGGGAGAGUAACACGUAUCCAACCUGCCCUUUACUCGGGGAUAGCCUUUAGAAAGAAAGAAUAAUACCCGAUAUAAAGGAUGGGGAUGCGUUCCAUGAGGUUGUUGGUGAGGUAACGGCUCACAAAGCCUUCGAUGGAUAUGGGUGCUGAGAGGAACGUCCCUCACAGUGGAACACAGCCACGGUCCAAACGCCUACCGGAGGUAGCAGUGAGGAAGAUUUGUAAGUGGGCGCUAGCCUGCACCAGCCAAGUAGUGUGGAGGAUGAAUGCUUAUGGGUCGUUAACUUCUUUUAUAAAAGAAUAUGUAUUAUAUUAGUAAGGAUCGGCUAACUCCGUGCCAGCCGCCGCGGUAAUUC